UCUUCAAAUCUUUUUUCAAAGUUCUUGGUUUCCUUGCAUUGGGUUAGAACAUGCUCCUUUAGCUCAGAGAAUUUUAUUACCCACCCUCUGAAACCUGUUUCCGUCAAUUCGCCAAACUCAUUCUCCAACCAGUUUUGUUCUCUUGCUGGUGAGGAGUUGUGACCCGUUGGUGAAGAAGAGUUCUGGUUUUUGGAGUUUUCAGCCUUUUCACACUGGUUUCUUCCCAUUUUCAUGGAUUUAUCUAC